GCAGUUGUCCACAUAUUUUUUCCAUGUAGAGUAUUUCACAGUGGUUUAAAUGGUACAAUGACUCUCUACAGCAGGGGUUCCCAAACUGUUUGGGGAACAGCUCACGCCCACGUCUAUUUCUAUGGGCACAAGCACUGUUCAUGACACCAACUGUUCACACCACUCUUGUUGGUGGAGUGAAUUUAGCAGGUUUAAAGCAUAUUUCCUGCAAUUCUAAACAUUUUGUCAAGGAGUGCAGAGAACAUGUAGCUGUUUUAAAAAAGGUCAUUGUCUUGCAAUUCUAUACAUUUUGCCACAUCUAAUGUGUAUUCAUGUCAUCUUUGAGUGUCUCAAACACUACAACAAAAUCGAAGGGCUACAAAACCUAGCUAAAAUGUUUGCUGACAUGGCUAGUUCAUCUGGACAUUUCUGACAAAUCACAAAUGGUUAUGCAAGAGAGAAACUGAAGACGCCCUAGCCAAUUUCGAAAUGGCACCUUCGGAAUUCUGAUCGGUUUUAAGUAAUAACUCGAACAAUUUAAAAGUGAGGUGUCACUUCGUUUGGUUGAGUUUUGAUGCGUAUACUUAAAAAACCUGUGUCUAGCUAAAACAACGCUGACCAGCCUCUAGGCGUUUGUCUUUUAUUGUCUUGGCUGGAUAGCGUCGUGUCCUUUAGGGCUAGCACGAACUAACGCAAAAUAACACUUUAGCUAACAGUUCAUUUCGAAUACGAAAAUCAUAUUUAAAUCAUACUUAAAAUACGAUAUUAUACAUAUUUAAUCAAUAUUGAAUACACUUACACACGUAACAGAGCAGUCUUACCUGUUAGAUUAACUCGGAGUAGUUUAUGAAGGAGAUACUUUCCAGCCUUAGUGCUACCCGGGAUCCUUGGGACGUCCCUAACCCUUAAAGCUGCAGUAUGUAUCUUUUGGGCGAACAGACCAAAUGUGCAUAUACAUUUUAGUUAUGGAUCUGCCAUUCUCCUUUAAAGCAAGUCUAAGAAGCGGUAGAUCUGUUAUACAGAGUAUGUUCACUGUUUCUAUGCUUCUCAUGUUUAAAUAAAUGUUUUACGUCUUUUAUUUUCAUUUUGGAAAUACUACUCCCUUUUCUACUGCCACGCAUUCAUGUUCUUUGGAACUAUUAAUCUAUCUGUGCUACACCUUCUUUGAUAAAUGUAGCACACCUACCACCCAAACCCUCUAUUCUAUCACUUCUCACAGAGAUAAACCCAGGUAUAAAAUAAUCCAAUUGCCAUAUGAACUCAGACUAAUUUUUGUUUAUGAGGGAUUUAGCAAUAACCAUGGAAUCUGGGAUCCUUGUGACGUCACUACCCUCAACUCAAAGCUUUCAUUUUUGUUUCUGAGGGACUUUCCAUGGUAAGUACUAUCCAGCAUUCUGGGGAUGUUACUACCCUCAACCCCAAUCUUAUCUAACCUUAAACCUGCAAUAAGUCACUUUUUUUGUGUGACCGGACCAAAUUCACAUAGAAAUUUGAGUUAAGCGGGAGAUCUGUUAAACAGUAUGUUCACUAUUUCUAUGCUUCCCUUGUUUAAGUAAAUGUUUUGCGUCUUUAACUUUCAGUUUUGAAAAUACAAUGUUUUCGCUUAUGGAGAAGAUAUUUCAUAGCGGUUUACCAGGUGUUCCCAAACUUUUUAACUCUGACCCCCUUUCCAGCAUUGUGGAACAUCCCGCGCCCCCGUCUAUUUCUAUGGGCACAAGCUAUGUGUUUACAUUUGUAUUUUUGUCGAGAGCAAAACUUUUUUCUUUUCAAUCAAAUAUAAUUGUUUUGAAAGCAAAAACGGGACUUCAAAGUUUUUAAAAAAAUGUACAAAUGUGCAAUCAAAUAUUUUCUAUUAGAGCGCAAAACGUCAUUCCCAAAAAAUAUUCCGUCCAAACUCUACAUAGCUAGUAGUUCAGUGAUGCAAACUAGUCACCUUUCUGUGAAAUUCGCGGUUUUGGUAUUCGACUCAUUGCCGUUCUUCAAGUUAUAACGCGUUAACGUUAUUUGCUUACUGGACCCUGCCAAUCUGUGUGAAACAUUAACUAGCUAACGAAAUAACCACUAUCUGUUAACUAAUGUUUUCCCUCUACAGUAUGUGGUUCAUUUUCAGAAUGAGAGAUUUAGGUGAAAAUGAGGCGUUGCUUGUUAAACAAGUGGAUUCAGGGAUCAAGUGUAGCAGGAGCUGGGCCUGGCUUAAACUGGAUGCCACUAUAGAGAGUGGCAGGUGAAAUAUUUGCAGUGAGCCUUGCACAAGGUGAACCGUCUCCAUGAUUUAUGCAGGAGUGAUGUUACCACUAUCUGUUGACCGGGACCCUGAAGGACCUAACAAAGGAGACAUUUUGCUACAUGUAACCACAAAACGUACGGCGAUGCUUCAGCAGCUGCAUGAAGGCCUUGAAGUCUACAUCCUAAUUGAGGUCCUGCAGAAGAACCCGAAGGAAUGUCUCAAUCUCUUUGUGAUGACAUGGUUGAUGCACACUACAUAAUCUCAAACCUGGCCCCAGAGAUGAGUGAAAGUGGUUCUCCAAAACAAAAGGAGACGGAAAUCUUGGAUUUCUUUAAAGAUUUCCUCCAAGAACUUGAUGAUGGGAAAGUGAGCCUGCCUGUGGCUGAAGACAGUGGAGAGGAAGAAGACAGUGGAGAGGGAGAAGACAGUGGAGAGGAAGAAGACAGUGGAGAGGAAGAAGACAGUGGAGAGGAAGAAGACAGUGGAGAGGAAGAAGACAGUGGAGAGGAAGAAGACAGUGGAGAGGGAGAAGACAGUGGAGAGGAAGAAGACAGUGGAGAGGAAGAAGACAGUGGAGAGGAAGAAGACAGUGGAGAGGAAGAAGACAGUGGAGAACCACUUUCUGUUCCCAGUGUAAUGCAGUGGCUGACAGGGCAGCCACACACACCUGCUUGUCUCAGAGAGAAAAGUUAAAGAUGGUGAUCAUUUUUGACCACUCAUGUCUAGAACGCAUGCCUAACUACACUGUUUGUUACCCUGUUAGUGCAUACACCAAAACGAUAACAUUUCCCACAGCCCAUCUGAGAGAUUACGAUGCAUUUAAAUCAAACAUUGAAACAGCAAUCAAAUACAGUGCAAGGUUUGAUAGAGUUUAGCUGAAAGACUAUUCAAUUUAACUGACUGAUAAACCACAUACAGUACAUUAUGUUCCUGUGUAAAGAAGCAGUCAAAUCUUUUUUGCUUUAUUUUGGGGUUAAUGCUUAAAUGUACGCCCAUGACAACUGUGAUUUAGAAAAUAUUUUUCAUUAACCUCUUACUACUCAGCAUUCAUAGAAGUAUGGUAGACUGCAGCGAUAGCUCAGAGGUCUAAACGUUGGAUGUCUGGAUGAAUGGACUAUUGGAAAUAGUCAGAGGGACUGAUGUAGUAUUUUGGCUUUUGUAAAGUUUUUGCAUUAUGUUUUAUACACUGGUCUUAGACUAUACCUUCAAACACCAAAACCUUAGGUGGCUCCAUUGCUAGUAAAGAGUGUUACACUGUAUCAACAAAAUGUGUUUUUGUAUCAUCGUAGUCCAUGGGAAUUAUGUAAAUGAAAUGACAUACAAUAUACUAGUUUUCUGGCCAACAUAGUGUUCCAGAUGUACUGUAACUACUUUAGGGUAUCAUCGGUUCUCUCCCCUUUAAUAUGUGAUUCUUUCUGUUUUUAUUCUUUAUUUUGUUUAACAAGAGCCUUGAAGCUGUUCUGUAUACAGUAGACCGAUGGGGGCCAAAGACUCCAUUUUAGUAUAGUGUUCACCAAGUGGUAUAGAAUACAAGUAUAUAAACUUUAUCCAAACGCAAUGUAAUAGACCAAUUUAUCUCCGGGCUUAAAGCUAGCAUUAUUUACAAGCAAAGGUGCUUGGUCUGACUUUGUUAUUCAUUUGUAGUACUGUAUCCUGUAACCAAACGAGUCACUGCUUAUUCAGUGGUCUCCAACUUCACCUCUGGAGCUCAGAAAUGAUGAAUAUAACAGUGAGAGACAGUGCCACUCUGUUAGAAGUACAAUAAUACUUCACAAGUCCUUUUGAUUACCCAAGGUUCAUUUGUACGCAGCGAGGGAUGGAAGGUUUUAUUAAAAUGUAAAUUUAAGGGAUUUUUCAGUUGCUCAUUGUUAUAUUUUGACAUGACAAAGUUCUGUAUUUGUGGAUCUACUGUAUUGGUGUUUACAUAAUGUACAUAACCACCGUUCGCUGAGCUCCGUGUCACUGCCUGCUUUUGAUUUUCAUGUUAAGAGACUGGAUGUCAUGUACACUAACUGUAAAGGUGACAGCUCCAUAAAUGAUAUGGGGAGAGAAAGUCACCUCAGGAGCCACAUGACACCUAUGGAUUCUUGGACUCCUCUGUAACUGGAUAGUGUUUUAUAGAUCACUGCAUUAUUAGAACGUUCUAUAGAUUCACCUCUGAACUUGGAAACUGUUGGCUGUAUGUCCAAUGGUAGUGCUGUGAACAUGUUACAAUUAUUCACAUGUGAUUGUUUUGACACUGUUAUACUGCUACAUAAUGUUGAUUGUUACAUGGUAUUUAUCAGUUUUAUAUGUUCAAAUGUUGGGUUUGUUUUUAGAGAGAAGUGUUCAUUAACAAAGCUGCUUUGUGGAAAAUAAAUACCAUUGGUUUACAAUAAGUUUAAUUGUUAAAAAAAAUGAAAAUAAAUUACUUUUCAUAAAA